UUACGGCCACAUCACAUUGAAACACUGGUUCUCAUAUGAUCACCAAAGUUAAGCAACAUUGAGCCUGGUCAGUACCUAGAUGGGUGACUGCUUGCAAAUACAAUUGGCUGUAA